UGGGGAAUUGUUCGCAAUGGGCGCAAGCCUGACGACGCAACGCCGCGUGGAGGAUGAAGGUCUUCGGAUUGUAAACUCCUGUUGCCCGGGACGAAAUGUUCAGACCUAAUACGUCUGAGUUUGACGGUACCGGGUGAGGAAGCCCCGGCUAACUCUGUGCCAGCAGCCGCGGUAAUACAGAGGGGGCAAGCGUUGUUCGGAAUUACUGGGCGUAAAGGGCGCGUAGGCGGCCCUCUAAGUCGAACGUGAAAUCCCUGGGCUCAACCCAGGAACUGCGUCCGAGACUGGGGGGCUAGAAUCCGGGAGAGGGAUGUGGAAUUCCAGGUGUAGCGGUGAAAUGCGUAGAUAUCUGGAGGAACAUCGGUGGCGAAGGCGGCAUCCUGGACCGGUAUUGACGCUGAGGCGCGAAAGCCAGGGGAGCAAACGGGAUUAGAUACCCACGUAGUCCCUGAGCGGGCUGGCAAGGCGCAU
rnacentral:rRNA from 1 species